UACGUAGGGAGCAAGCGUUGUUCGGAUUUACUGGGCGUAAAGGGCGCGUAGGCGGCAGAUUAAGUCAGCUGUGAAAUCUCCAAGCUUAACUUGGAAACUGCCAUGGAUACUAUAGGUCUUGAAUACCGUGGAGGUGAGCGGAAUAUGUCAUGUAGCGGUGAAAAUGCUUAGAUAUGACAUAGAACACCAAUUGCGAAGGCAGCUCACUACACGAAUAUUGACACUGAGGCACGAAAAGCGUGGGGAGUCAAACAG
rnacentral:rRNA from 1 species